UACGUAGGGUGCGAGCGUUAAUCGGAAUUACUGGGCGUAAAGGGUGCGCAGGCGGACUGGUAAGUCAGUGGUGAAAUCUCGUCGCUUAACGACGAAACUGCCUUUGAUACUAUCAGUCUUGAAUCCGGUAGAGAUCUGUGGAAUUCCGAGUGUAGCAGUGAAAUGUGUAGAUAUCAGGAGGAACACCUGUGGCGAAAGCGGCUCACUGGACCAUAACUGACGCUGAUGCACGAAAGCUAGGGGAGCAAACAGG
rnacentral:rRNA from 1 species